CAGCAGCCACGGGAAAACGGAGGGUGCAAGCGUUAUCCGGAUUUAUUGGGUUUAAAGGGUCCGUAGGCGGAUCUGUAAGUCAGUGGUGAAAUCUCACAGCUUAACUGUGAAACUGCCAUUGAUACUGCAGGUCUUGAGUAAAUUUGAAGUGGCUGGAAUAAGUAGUGUAGCGGUGAAAUGCAUAGAUAUUACUUAGAACACCAAUUGCGAAGGCAGGUCACUAAGAUUUAACUGACGCUGAUGGACGAAAGCGUGGGGAGCGAACAGGAUUAGAUACCCCCGUAGUCCCUGUCUCUUAUCU
rnacentral:rRNA from 1 species